rnacentral:rRNA from 1 species
UACGUAGGGGGCAAGCGUUGUCCGGAAUCAUUGGGCGUAAAGAGCGUGUAGGCGGCCCGGUAAGUCCGCUGUGAAAGUCGGGGGCUCAACCCUCGAAAGCCGGUGGAUACUGUCGGGCUCGAGUGCGGAAGAGGCGAGUGGAACUCCUGGUGUAGCGGUGGAAUGCGCAGAUAUCAGGAAGAACACCAACGGCGAAGGCAGGUCUCUGGGCCGAAAUUGACGCUGAGGAGCGAAAGCGUGGGGAGCAAACAGG